UAACGGCGAGUGAAGCGGCAACAGCUCAAAUUUGAAAUCUUGGCCCUCGGGUCCGAAUUGUAAUUUGCAGAGGAUGCUUUUGGCGCGGCGCCUUCCGAGUUUCCUGGAACGGAACGCCAUAGAGGGUGAGAGCCCCGUCCGGUUGGACGCCUAGCCUAUGUAAAGCUCCUUCGACGAGUCGAGUAGUUUGGGAAUGCUGCUCUAAAUGGGAGGUACAUGUCUUCUAAAGCUAAAUACCGGCCAGAGACCGAUAGCGCACAAGUAGAGUGAUCGAAAGAUGAAAAGCACUUUGAAAAGAGGGUUAAAUAGUACGUGAAAUUGUUGAAAGGGAAGCGUUUAUGACCAGACUUGGGCCCGGUUAAUCAUCCAGCGUUCUCGCUGGUGCACUUGGCCGGCCCAGGCCAGCAUCAGUUCGUCGCGGGGGAUAAAGGUUUCGGGAACGUGGCUCCCUCGGGAGUGUUAUAGCCCGUUGCGUAAUACCCUGCCUCGGACUGAGGUUCGCGCAUCUGCAAGGAUGCUGGCGUAAUGGUCAUCAACGACCCGUCUUGAAACACGGACCAAGGAGUCGUCUUCGUAUGCGAGUGUUCGGGUGUCAAACCCCUACGCGUAAUGAAAGUGAACGCAGGUGAGAGCUUCGGCGCAUCAUCGACCGAUCCUGAUGUUCUCGGAUGGAUUUGAGUAAGAGCAUACGGGGCCGGACCCGAAAGAAGGUGAACUAUGCCUGUAUAGGGUGAAGCCAGAGGAAACUCUGGUGGAGGCUCGCAGCGGUUCUGACGUGCAAAUCGAUCGUCAAAUAUGGGCAUGGGGGCGAAAGACUAA
rnacentral:rRNA from 1 species